rnacentral:lncRNA from 1 species
CCCGCCGGACCCCGGGACUACGGAAGCCAUCCCGUCCGGCCACCCACACCCGCGCCGCGGCUGGGGCUUGGGUUGGGGACUGUGGCGGCGAAGAAGCCGGGGGAGGGAGUUCUCACAAGAUCUGAUGGUUUAAGCGUGGCAGUUUCCCCUGAGCUCUCCUUCCUGCUGGUAUGUAAGGCGUGCUUUGCUUCCUCUUCACCUUCCGCCAUGAUUGUACAUUUCCUGAGGCCUCCCCAGCCAUGCAGAACUGCAUACAACUUAGGAUUCAUAACUACAUAUAUACGGAUAGAAGUGCAUGAACAGAAAAUCUGCCCUUCUGGAAUACCAAAUGCAAAAUUAAAGUGACUACAAGCAGAAUUUGGAGAAAAAAAUAAAAGAUGCAAUAUAGUUUUUAAAAUCAUUGUUAAAAUAUAAUGAGUCUGUACUUUGCUUAAACAAUAAAAAAGUCUUCGAUUUAUA